rnacentral:ncRNA from 1 species
UCAACGGAGAGUUUGAUCCUGGCUCAGGACGAACGCUGGCGGCGUGCUUAACACAUGCAAGUCGAGCGGAAAGGCCCUUCGGGGUACUCGAG